rnacentral:rRNA from 1 species
AACGAACGCUGGCGGCGUGGAUUAGGCAUGCAAGUCGUGCGCGAAAGUUCCCUUCGGGGGGCGCGUAGAGCGGCGAACUGGUGAGUACAAGGUGACUAACCUGCCCUUAAGUUGGGGAUAACCGCGGAAACCGUGGCUAAUACCGAAUGGUCUCCUGGGUCUGAGGACCUGUGAGUAAAGCAGUAAUGCGCUUGAGGAUGGGGUCACCUCCCAUUAGCUUGUGGUGGGUAACGCCACCAAGGCUACGAUGGGUAGCUGGACUGAGAGGUUGGCCAGCCANACUGGGACUGAGAUACGGCCCAGACUCCGUACGGGGGGCAGC